AGUAGUUUGAUCAUGGCUCAGAACGAACGCUGGCGGCAUGCCUAACACAUGCAAGUCGAACGAGACCUUCGGGUCUAGUGGCGCACGGGUGCGUAACGCGUGGGAAUCUGCCCUUGGGUUCGGAAUAACAGUUAGAAAUGACUGCUAAUACCGGAUAAUGUCUUCGGACCAAAGAUUUAUCGCCCAGGGAUGAGCCCGCGUAGGAUUAGCUAGUUGGUGAGGUAAAGGCUCACCAAGGCGACGAUCCUUAGCUGGUCUGAGAGGAUGAUCAGCCACACUGGGACUGAGACACGGCCCAGACUCCUACGGGAGGCAGCAGUGGGGAAUAUUGGACAAUGGGCGAAAGCCUGAUCCAGCAAUGCCGCGUGAGUGAUGAAGGCCUUAGGGUUGUAAAGCUCUUUUACCCGGGAUGAUAAUGACAGUACCGGGAGAAUAAGCCCCGGCUAACUCCGUG
rnacentral:rRNA from 1 species